rnacentral:rRNA from 1 species
AGCGAACGCUGGCGGCAGGCCUAACACAUGCAAGUCGAGCGCCCCGCAAGGGGAGCGGCAGACGGGAGAGUAACACGUGGGAACGUACCCUUCGGUUCGGAACAACCCAGGGAAACUUGGGCUAAUACCGGAUACGUCCGAAAGGAGAAAGAUUCAUCGCCGAGGGAUCGGCCCGCGUCUGAUUAGCUAGUUGGUGGGGUAACGGCCCACCAAGGCGACGAUCAGUAGCUGGUCUGAGAGGAUGAAGAGCCUCACUGGGACUGAGACACGGCCCAGACUCCUACGGGAGGCAGCAGUGGGGAAUAGUGGACAAUGGGCGCAAGCCUGAUCCAGCCAUGCCGCGUGGGUGAUGAAGGCACUAGGGUUGUAAAGCCCUUUCGGCGGGGAAGAUAAUGACGGUACCCGCAGAAGAAGCCCCGGCUAACUUCGUGCCAGCCGCCGCCGUAA